GAUAAAAGCAUUCAAAGCGCGGGAAAUAUACGCCAAAACCGGUUCGACGUCAGGUGUUCCACCACCUGACGCCAAGGGAAUAUAAAACUGCAAGCAAUAAAUGAAAGGAUUACGAAAUUUGGAGAAGUUAGAAAUUGUUCGGACGACUUUCUCUUCAUAACAAAUCUAAUUAAUUAUUGCUCUCGUUUGUGUUCUUUCCAAGAGUGAAAUAUUAACUAAAGUGUAAUAGAUUUAUUGCUUUUCUAAUUUUGUGUCAUUCGAAAAUUAUUAUAAUUAUUUACGAAAAUUAUAUGCCGCUUAAACAUUCUGUUCCGUUAAUUCUUUGUUCUCAAAUAGCUGUCUUGUUAUUCCAAGGGUAUCUCCAAAAUUUAAAUCCAUCCUCUUUAACAUAAAGUCGCUCACAUAAAGGUGUAUAUUAUAUAUAACUCUGUGCAAAAUUCUAGAUUAUGAGACCAAAUAUUUUUUGAUGUUAUAAUUGAUCAGUGUACAUCGAAAUAUUACGACUGUUCUUUUUGUAUGCAAUGGUUUUGUUAUUCAAGUCGUAGUGCCAUAAACAUAACGUUAGCUAUUGUUAACUUUUGGCAGAAAUAUAUAAGGUGAUUCCCACCCAUUCCAGUCACAUGAAACUACCACCUAAUUGAGUUUGUGCCGUAUUAUAAUUUGAUCAUUCACCCGUAGUUCGUUGUCGUCCAUUCCUUUUAUAGUUUAAUUAAAUAGGUAUUGCGUAAGUCGUUCGUUUGAACCUUUAAUUAAAGUUGCGCAUGAUAUUUUUUAUUAUCAUUAGAGGUUGGUUGGAUUAUUAUCAUCACGUACGUUUGGCCAAUGUCAAAUUUUGCACAAUUAAUGUCGAUGAGAUGUACAGCAUUUGCUGAUUUCAAUAUAAUUUUGUAAAAGCAGCUUUAUUUACGUAUCACAUAAAGUAUAUUGUAUAUUUUUGUUACAAUUUGACGUUUGGACUUUCAGUAGCUAUCUAACUGAUUAUACAGUAACUCCAAUUUCAAUUAACGCAACAAAGGGAUGUACAAAUCUAUGUGACACUUAUUUCUGUUCAACAUGAGUUAUAACAAAUUGUAUUUGCGUUGAAUACAACAUUAACUUGUUUCCAUAUUUUCUAUUUUCAAAACUUCGUGACUAGUUCGAAGCAUGACUCAGAUAACCGCCUCUGAAAUAUCAUCGAGAUACGCAAAGUUUACCAUGUAUCCUUUAUAACAUAUUCGGUAACUGUUACAAAAUAGUUUGUGCUAUAUCUCUUUGCCAUUUUGGGUGAAUAAUUGAAUAUGCAAUUUCAGGUGUUAUCUCUAACGUCACGUGCGGGUCUUUUCUUCUUGCUACCCCCUUUCCCCCCAGAAGGCUGAUAACCGUGCAGGCGAAUCGGCGCCGGCGCAACGUUGCCACCUCAGUCUCUCCCCGAGCGUUUCGCGUGACGGACCUGUCGCUCUUUAUUUGUUUACAUUUAAAAACUAAUAAAAUCUCAGUGAUGUGAUAUUUGAACGUGCGAUAUGAGUGAUUCUUUACAUGUGAGAAGGAUUUCAGUUUAGUUAAUUGUGAAUACUUUUUUCCUUCUGUGCAAGGAAUGAACCGAUACCGUUGCGUCGCGCUCCGGUGAUUCGGUUAAUAACUCGUGGAUCUACAGUGACUGUGUAAUAGUGGCUUUACUAAGAUCUAAUACCAUGUAAAGAUGGAUCCAUUGUUGCUGUCUCACUCCGGCCUGUGCACUGGACUAGAACAGGGCUUAUCUAGUUUUAAUUCCUC
rnacentral:misc_RNA from 1 species